rnacentral:rRNA from 1 species
AGAGUUUGAUCCUGGCUCAGGAUGAACGCUAGCUACAGGCUUAACACAUGCAAGUCGAGGGGCAGCAUGGUCUUAGCUUGCUAAGGCCGAUGGCGACCGGCGCACGGGUGAGUAACACGUAUCCAACCUGCCGUCUACUCUUGGACAGCCUUCUGAAAGGAAGAUUAAUACAAGAUGGCAUCAUGAGUCCGCAUGUUCACAUGAUUAAAGGUAUUCCGGUGGACGAUGGGGAUGCGUUCCAUUAGAUAGUAGGCGGGGUAACGGCCCACCUAGUCUUCGAUGGAUAGGGGUUCUGAGAGGAAGGUCCCCCACAUUGGAACUGAGACACGGUCCAAACUCCUACGGGAGGCAGCAGUGAGGAAUAUUGGUCAAUGGGCGAGAGCCUGAACCAGCCAAGUAGCGUGAAGGAUGACUGCCCUAUGGGUUGUAAACUUCUUUUAUAAAGGAAUAAAGUCGGGUAUGGAUACCCGUUUGCAUGUACUUUAUGAAUAAGGAUCGGCUAACUCCGUGCCAGCAGCCGCGGUAAUACGGAGGAUCCGAGCGUUAUCCGGAUUUAUUGGGUUUAAAGGGAGCGUAGAUGGAUGUUUAAGUCAGUUGUGAAAGUUUGCGGCUCAACCGUAAAAUUGCAGUUGAUACUGGAUAUCUUGAGUGCAGUUGAGGCAGGCGGAAUUCGUGGUGUAGCGGUGAAAUGCUUAGAUAUCACGAGGAACUCCGAUUGCGAAGGCAGCCUGCUAAGCUGCAACUGACAUUGAGGCUCGAAAGUGUGGGUAUCAAACAGGAUUAGAUACCCUGGUAGUCCACACGGUAAACGAUGAA